AACUGUAUAUGAUUUUGAUGUAACCACCGUAUUGAAAUAAAAUUUUUAAUAAUAAUAAUAAUAAUAAUAAUAUAUAUAUAUAUAUAUAUAUAUAUAUAUAUAUAUAUAUAUAUAUAUAUAUAUAUAUAUAUAUAUAUAUAUAUAAUAUAUAUAUAUAUAUAUAUAAAUGCGAAGAUCGCGGGUUCGAAUCCCAGCCGCGGUCA